rnacentral:rRNA from 1 species
UACGUAGGGCGCAAGCGUUGUCCGGAAUUAUUGGGCGUAAAGAGCUCGUAGGCGGUCUGUCGCGUCUGUUGUGAAAACUCGAGGCUCAACCUCGGGCUUGCAGUGGAUACGGGCAGACUAGAGUGCGGUAGGGGAGACUGGAAUUCCUGGUGUAGCGGUGGAAUGCGCAGAUAUCAGGAGGAACACCGGUGGCGAAGGCGGAUCUCUGGGCCGUAACUGACGCUGAGGAGCGAAAGCAUGGGGAGCGAACAGG